rnacentral:rRNA from 1 species
GAUGAACGCUGGCGGCGUGCUUAACACAUGCAAGUCGAACGGAAAGGCCCAAGCUUGCUUGGGUACUCGAGUGGCGAACGGGUGAGUAACACGUGGGUGAUCUGCCCUGCACUUCGGGAUAAGCCUGGGAAACUGGGUCUAAUACCGGAUAGGACGAUGGUUUGGAUGCCAUUGUGGAAAGUUUUUUCGGUGUGGGAUGAGCUCGCGGCCUAUCAGCUUGUUGGUGGGGUAAUGGCCUACCAAGGCGUGGACGGGUAGCCGGCCUGGGAGGGGGUACGGCCACAUUGGGACUGAGAUACGGCGCAGACUCCUACGGGAGGCAGCAGUGGGGAAUAUUGCACAAUGGGCGCAAGCCUGAUGCAGCGACGCCGCGUGGGGGAUGACGGCCUUCGGGUUGUAAACUCCUUUCGCUAGGGACGAAGCGUUUUUGUGACGGUACCUGGAGAAGAAGCACCGGCUAACUACGUG